rnacentral:rRNA from 1 species
CCUACGGGUGGCAGCAGUGAGGAAUAUUGGUCAAUGGGCGCGAGCCUGAACCAGCCAAGUCGCGUGAGGGAAGACGGUCCUAUGGAUUGUAAACCUCUUUUGUCGGGGAGCAAAAGACGCCACGCGUGGCGUUCCGCGAGUACCCGAAGAAAAAGCAUCGGCUAACUCCGUGCCAGCAGCCGCGGUAAUCGGGCGGAUGCGAGCGUUAGCCGGAUUUGUGGGGUUUAAAGGGUGCGCAGGGGGUAGUUCAAGUCAGCGGUAAAAUUGAGAGGCUCAACCUCUACGAGCCGUUGAAACUGGUGUGCUUGAGUGAGCGAGAAGUAGGCGGAAUGCGUGGUGUAGCGGUGAAAUGCAUAGAUAUCACGCAGAACACCGAUUGCGAAGGCAGCACACCGGAGCUCAACUGACGCUCAGGCACGAAAGUGUGGGUAUCGAACAGGAUUAGAUACCCCGGUAGUC